GGGACUGUAGCUCAGUGGUUAGAGCGCUCGCCAGAUGAGCGAGAGGUCGUGGGUUCGAAUCCCAGCCAGCCCCA
rnacentral:tRNA from 1 species